CUCCUUCACUUUGUUUCAAGAGUUCUAGCCCCUAGAACUUGACUAGCCCUGUAUCGGUCAGAUUUCUUUAAGAACCUAACUCCACCCUCUUAGAAUCUUCUCUAAACUUUUGAAUCUCCUUCUUUAGAACCUUCACAACCUUUUUUUUUUUGACCAGAUAUGAUUUUGUCUUAAAUCCUAAAGCCUUGUCCUAAAACUAACAUAGGUUGUAAGAAAGAAGAGAGAGCAACGGAGAGGAGUUGGAAAGUAGAUUUGAAUGCAUUGGACACCUAGCAC
rnacentral:lncRNA from 1 species